CCUACGGGCGGCAGCAGUAGGGAAUUUUGCGCAAUGGGGGAAACCCUGACGCAGCAACGCCGCGUGAUUGAUGACGCCCUUCGGGGUGUAAAGAUCUGUCAGUGGGGACGAAACUUGACGGUACCCACAGAUGAAGCAUCGGCUAACUCCGUGCCAGCAGCCGCGGUAAUACGGAGGAGGCAAGCGUUUUCCGGAAUCAUUGGGCUUAAAGAGUUCGUAGGUGGCACGGUAAGUCUGGUGUGAAAGGCUGAGGCUCAACCUCUAUUCGGCAAUGGAUACUGGCGAGCUUGAGUACGGUAGAGGUAAGGGGAAUUCAUGGUGUAGCGGUGAAAUGCGUAGAUAUAAGGAAGAACAGCGGUGGCGAAGGCGGUUGACUGGACUGAAAUUGACACUGAGGAACGAAAGCGAGGGUAGCAAACAGGAUUAGAUACCCGUGUAGUC
rnacentral:rRNA from 1 species